CCCCCGGGACCCCGAAAAUAUAUUGUGGUUUCCCCCUAAGUCCUUACCCAACCCCUUUGGAAACCUUCGCAAUAGUCCAUGAUUUAGGGGGACCCCCACGGGGGACCUGGGCAAAUUAACGCCCGAACCCUCCCAGGUUUUCCAAUCCCGGUUGCCACUAAAAACAUGGUUUCCCAACGGGCCACUGAGCAAAGGAGCAUGGUCGUGGUCAGGUUCGUGCGUUAGAUUGGGUUAAGUCCCGGAAAUCAUGCACCCCUUGAUUGUAAGUUGCCAUAAGACUUGGCCCUUGAGGGAUUCCCGGUUACACCUGCAGUAAGUUGGAUCAGGUCAAAUGUUCAAGCCCGUAUAUCAGUCUGGCGUGCUUACAAUGGUCGAUACUGGGGUGCACCUCGCGAGAGAGAUAAUCCGAUAGAGCCGUUCUCAUGUUCGGCAUUGUAGGCUGUCUUUCGCAUACAUGAACCUGAGGUCGCUAGAAUUGGUAGCACCCGGGUGAAUAAGUUUCGGGCCUUGAAGUACCGCCGCGUCACGCCUGAUCAGUUUGAACACGCCAAGUCGGGUGAGAACCUGUUGGAUCUACUUCAUUAUUACAU
rnacentral:rRNA from 1 species